rnacentral:rRNA from 1 species
AAAUUGAAGAGUUUGAUCAUGGCUCAGAUUGAACGCUGGCGGCAGCUCCAACACAUGCAAGUCGACCCAGAGUAACAGGAAGGCAGCUUGUUGCUUCGCUGACGAGUGGCGUGGACGGGUGAGCAAUGUGUCUGGGAAACUGCCUGAUGGAGGGGUGAUAACUACUGGAAACGGUGGCUAAUACCGCAUAACGUCGUAAGACCAAAGAGUGGGGACCUUCGGCCUCUUUGCCAUCAGAUGCCCAGGAUUACUGUUGGUGAGGUAACGGCUCACCAAGGCGACGAUCCCUAGCUGGUUCGCUGAGAGGAUGACCAGCCAUUCGAACUGGAGACACGGUCCAGACUCCUACGGGAGGCAAAGCAGUGGGGAAUAUUGCACAAUGGGCGCAAGCCUGAUGCAGCCAUGCUCGCGUGUAUGCGAAGAAGGCCUUCGUUGUAAAGUACCUCUUUCAGCGGGGAGGAAGGUGGGUUGUGGUUAAUAACCACAGCACCCGACGUUACCUCGCAGAAGAAGCACCGGCUAACUCGCGCCAGCAGCCGCGGUAAUACGAGGUGCAAGCGCAAUCGGAAUUACUGGGCGUAAAGCGCACGCAGGCGGCCCGUCAAGUCGGAUGAAACCUCGGCUCAACCCGGGAACUGCAUUCGAAACCGGCAGGCUUGAGUCUUGUAGAGGGGUAGAAUUCCGUGUAGCGGUGAAAUGCGUAGAUCUGGAGGAAUACCGCGGCGAAGGCGGCCCCCGACAAAGACUGCUCAGGGUGCGAAAGCGGAAUGCCGCAGAUACCGGUAGUCCACGCCGUAAACGAUGUCUACUUCUGGUUGUGCCCUUGAGGCGUGGCUUCCGAGCUAACGCGUUAAGUAGACCGCCCGGGAGUACGGGUACGCAAGGUUAAAACUCAAAUGACCCCGACGGGCAACGCACGCGGUGGAGCAUGUGGUUUACCCGAUGCGCAACGCGAAGAACCUACCCGGCCUUGACAUCCACGGAAGUUUUCAGAGAUGAGAAUGCCUUCGUGAAACGGCAGGUGCCGCAUGGCUGUCGUCACCGUGCUGUGAAAAUGUUGGGUUAAGUCCCGCAAAUGAGCGCAACCCCGGUCUCUUGCUGCCAGCUACCGGGAACUCAAAGGAGACCGCCAGUGAUAAACCGGUGAAGGUGGGGGAUGACGUCAAGUCAUCAUGGCCCUACGACCAGGCCACACGUGCUACAAUGGCGCAUGUACAAAGAGAAGCGACUCGCGAGAGCAAGCGACCCUCAUAAAGCGCGUCGUAGUCCGGAUUGGAGUUCGCAAUCCGACCCAUGAAGUCGGAAUCGCUAGUAAUCGUGGAUCAGAAUGCCACGGUGAAUACGUUCCGGCCUUGUACACACCGCCCGUCACAAUCACGGGAGUGGUUGCGUUAGCGGUAGCUUAACCUUCGGGAGGGCGCUUACCACCUUGUGAUUCAUGACUGUGAAGUCGUAUCAAGGUAACCGUAGGGGAACCUGCGGCUACCACCUCCUGC